CACCACUCAGAGGAGCACAGCAGGAUUAGCCCCACACAGGUGAAAAGAAAGUGAAUGGUUCUUUCUGUGAGCAGAUUUUCUUUCUAAAACAAUGCCUCCUGCAGCUAAAGGAGGAAAAGAGGAAACCAACAAUACCAACAGCUAGGGGAAGAGAUAGGUGAGGUCUCUGUUUUCUGAUGAGGAAGCUAAGCCUUGGAAGCCAGGCUUCAAACCUAGCGGGGGCAUAAUGAUCUUUCCAGUGUACAUUUUUGCUUUUGCAAAUUAGAAGAGUUAUUAAGUUUAUGAGUCAGUAUCAUGAAGAUCAAGAUGAUAUCUAAAAGGUUACUGGCAUGCAGUUUCCAUAAUAUUGCUAGAAGACAAGACUGAAUCAUAGCCUCCCAGGAACAGAAGAAACCUCAAAAGUUAUCGAGGCUGUUGUUUGGCAGCAACUGGAGCUACGUCCAAGCUGGUGGGUAUGCAGCGAUGGGCUGGGAACUCAUCUCCUCUUGGAAGUGAUACUUCUAAAGCUGCUGUGCUCAUAACUAGGGAAGCAGAAGAGGAGAUCGUCCUCCUGCCCUGGCAACCAGGGAUGAUGGCACGUGCCUAGGCUCAAGCAUGGCAAUUCUCCCAUCCAGAACUUGGAAUCUUCGGGAUCAUGAUUCUUGGCUAUGCAAACCUGAGGCUGAUGCAUCCUCCAGCAGCUGACCACGGACAUGUGCAGCAUCACAGUGACAGAUGGCAUUUCAACCACUUGGUUUACACCUUCCUCCACUGUCACCACCAUUCUGACAGAAAUGAGUUCCAUUUGCUCCAUUUUACAUAAGGGCAAAAGGCAGCAUUGACUCACCAAGUUUACACAGUUAGGGAAAAGAGCAACCAGGUCAGGAUCAGAUACAACAAAGAAGUGAUUGCAGAUGUUAAAUGGAACAUAGCUCUGGUCGUUUGAUAAAUAUUCAGUAAUUUCUUCAGUUUGUUAAGAAAAAUUAUCCAAAAUUUACAAUUACAGAGGAAGCAAAAUUUUACCUGUACCCUAUUUUUUUUUUUCUGGGGCUAAGAAUUAAAUUGACUUAAGACAGACAUAAGACAGAUCAACAGCAGAAGAACAAAUUUACUUAAUACAAGUUUUACAUGGCAGGAGAGACUACAUAAGGAAAUGCAGACCCAAAGGCACAGUUAGAUUGAACACUUACAUACAGAAUUAAAGAGUCAUGAAUUGUGAAAAUGUCACAAGGCCAAGAAGCUUGGGCUGAGUGGUUAAUUGAGUGAAAAAGUGGCUCGGAAGGUAAGUUUAGUCUAACAAGGUUUGUUUGUACAAAUUUCCCUUGGCCUCAACUUCCUAUCCUUGAUGAUAAGAGUGAUGCUUUCCUUCUGCUAUAGGGAAGGGAUCUUUCACAAGCGAAUUUCAUCUCCUACUUGUAAGAAACAGAAAGUCAGAGUGACCCUCUCACACCUGUUGUUUUUCAGGUGCCCUAAACUCAAAAUAGUCAAUAUGUCAGAGCGGCCUAUUUUGGGGUGGUGUGUAACCCCUGAAAACGUAGAGUUGUCCUCUCAAUGGUAUAUUAAGGCAUCAUUUAAAGGUUAUUUCAUUAUUUAGGAAAGCAGUUUUCAAACUUUGCUUCAUAAUUGGAAACACCUGGGAUGUUCGAAAACUAUGGCUGCCUGGCUCCCACCCCUAGACAUCCUGAUUUAAUGGUGGGGGGUGAUGUGAUAGGCUAAACAAUAACCUCCCAAAGAUGCCCACCACCUAAUCCUUAGACCCUAUGAAUAUGUUCCCUUACAUGUAAGAGACUUUGCAGAUAUGAUUAAGUUAAGGCUCUGUAGAUGGGGAAAAUAUCCUGGAUUAUCUGAAUACGCCCAAGGUCAUCACAAUGGUGAUUACCAAAAGAAGGCUGGAGGGUCAGAGUCAGAGAGAUAAGGCUUAAAGAUGGAGGCAGAGGUCAGAGAAGACCCUGUGCUGUUGCCUCACACGGUGAGGAAGGGGCCACAAGCCAAGAAAUGCAUGCAGCCUUUAGAAGGUAAAAAAGGCAAGGAAUGGAUUCUCCUCUAGAGCCUCUAGAAGGAAGCAGCUCUUUGGACCAAUUUUCAACUCUGACCUCCAGAACUGUAAGAGAAUAAAGCUGGAUUGCAUUAAGCCACGAUGUUUGUGGUAGUUUGUAACAGCAGCAAUAAAAAACUAAUACAUGUGGGAUCUCGGGUGUCACGAUCAAAAAAAAAUUUCUCCAAGUGAUUUUAACAUGCAGAAAAGUUUGAGAACCCAUCAAUCUAAGGAAAGGUACUUGUGUUUGACUCUG
rnacentral:lncRNA from 10 species